AUGGAUCCGUCCCUCUUUCACGCGUUUUCCUCUGUUCUUACUCAUCUCAUCAAUUCAUCGAUUUCGCGAUCAACACAAACAAAAUAUCACAUAUCAAAAACCCUAAAACCCCAAUUCACUAUGCUUUGGAUUACAUAUUACAAUACAGAAAUCAAGAAGAAAAUAACAACGAGUAAAUCAAAAAAAUUACAUGAAAAUGAUUGCUAUGCUCUUCUCAAUUUCUGCGGAUUUGUGGUUUUUGAGUGUGUGUGCUCUCUGCUUAGAGUGAAUGAAUUACUGAGUUUGUUUUAUAGGAGGAUUUACAAAGGGGGUAUGAAUUAUGGAUAA